GGAGAAGUAAAAGUCGUAACAAGGUUUCCGUAGGUGAACCUGCGGAAGGAUCAUUAUCAUACAAUGGAGAUACAAGGGCUGUUGCUAAACCUUUCAAAAGGGUCGUGCACGCGUGAGUUGUUCCUCUCCUACACAAAUCCAUUUCACCCCUUAUGUGCAUCACCGCGUGGGUAUGGCCCCACGUUUUUUUUCUUUCAUCACACAAACUUCAAAAGUAAUAUAGAAUGUAUAUUCAUUAUUUGCGGUGAUACGCAAUCAAUAUAACUUUCAACAACGGAUCUCUUGGCUCUCGCAUCGAUGAAGAACGCAGCAAAAUGCGAUACGUAAUGUGAAUUGCAGAAUUCAGUGAAUCAUCGAAUCUUUGAACGCACCUUGCACCCCUUGGUAUUCCGAGGGGUACACCCGUUUGAGUGUCGUGAAAUACUCAAAAAGCCCUUUUUCUUGAUCUUUUAAGAAAAGGGAUUUUUGGACUUGGAGGAUAUUAAUGCUUGCUAUCAUUUAUUGAAAGAGAGCUCCUCUUAAAUAAAUUAGUGGGGGUUUGCUUUGCUGAUCCUUGAUGUGAUAAAGUAAUUCUACAUUUUGGAUAUAAGCAUUGUCAUUUAUAAACACCUGCUUCUAAUUGUCUAUAUGGACAAUGAUGGUGUUCUGGUCACACAAAGGCUAGACCCACAAGAAAAAACCUUGACCUCAAAUCGGGG
rnacentral:rRNA from 1 species